rnacentral:pre_miRNA from 1 species
CUUGUACUCCAUCCGUCCCAAAAUUCUUGUCUUAUAUUUGUCUAAAUACGGAUGUAUCAAGUCACGUUUUAGUAUUAGAUACAUCCGUAUCUAGACAAAUCUAAGACAAGAAUUUUGGGACGGAGGGAGUAAUUU